UCUUCUCCUCCAACUGUCUCCUCUCUUCUCGGGGCCAGUUGGCUCGCACUCCAAAAAAAACCCUAAGGCAGCCUUUGGAAAAUCUAGCCGCCACGACACUCUCUCAGCUCCCCAUUCUCCCCGGGACUCUAGAUCUGACUCAAAAACUUCCCCUCAGCUCAUGUCUGACUCAACUCAGCUUCCUGGUGACAGAACAACAUCACCAUCCUCACCGUUUCUCCCUUUGGAUCUCAGCUACAGCAGACACGGAGGCCACGGACAAGACCGGAUCCUCUCCAUCUCUCCUGAACCCUCUUUAGCCUUCAUCAACGUGAUGAAUAGACCAGCAGCUCCCCUUUUGGUUUGAGGACCAUCACCUAUAGUGGAGGAUCUUCCUUCCUCUCUCGGGGUCACCAGCUCCUUUGCUUCAUCAUCUCCUCGAGCUCGCUCUCACCUCAGAUGCCCCCUCAUGUAGAGCUAAGUGCCGCUGUCACACUUCUCUCGUUCUCUUUGGCUCUCCUGCCCUCUUCGUUCUCCGUCUCCAACUCUUUUUGUCUUCCUUGCAGCACACCGGAAUCACGAUGGCCGACGUCAAGCUCCUCAUCUGUGACCACUUCUCCUGCUACACUUCAUCAACAUUACCAUGCUCGCUCUCAGCUCUCUUCCUCUCCAUCGCCACAACCUCGGCAACAACCAGCUCCUUCCCGGUGAUUCUCAUAGCCCAAUGAAUUCUCUAAGCUCUAAUGCGGUAUUUUGUUCCAAUGAAUGGUUCUAGAUGAUAUGGCCCGAUCUUGCUUGUUAUAAGUUGUAUUUUGAGGUUCAAUUGAGUUGCAUGUUAGUUGUUUGGUCAAGAUAAGGAUUUUUAGCAUGAUUUUGGUGACUUAAGAUUAUGCUUGAGGUAUGGGCUGAGCUGUGUGUCAAUUAUUUGUCCAAUUCAUGAUAAUUUCCCGUGGUCUUAAGGGCUCAUUGCUGUGCCUGAACAUGUGGCUGAGCUGAAUGUCGAACCUCCCAUUAAUUUGGGAAUGCUUUGAUCGAAAUUGAUGUCUUAUCGGUGGUAUUUGAUUAUGAGCUGAAUGGGAUGAUGGUUUUUAUGAUACUAGCUGAAUUGUUUGGUGAAUUUUAUUCGAUUUGAAAUGCUUUACAUGAAUUUGAUAAUUUAUUACCAUGUCCAAAUGUGCGGCUCAAUCGAAUGAAUGCAAGGAAAGAGAAUUGAUGGUUUGAGGAUGGAUGAUAAACGGUGGAAGACCAUUCACAUGAUUGAUGUCAGGAUGGAGUCUUUGCAUUUGAUUAGUUAAUCAUGUCUUCGUCUUGAUUCUUUCGGCCAUAGAUAUAAACCAGGAACGACCAUGGAGAGUUUUGUAGGUUCAUUUCUUGUCGUUGUAAACUCCUUGAAGCCGAUUUAUUGCGCACCUACUCGCUGAUGUGUCUUGGUUUGGUUCUUUAGUGCCUUGCUUCGAUUGCUCUUAGGUCAUAGGAUGAGUUAUUCUUACCCAUAAACGCCUUCAGAUUGCUUCCUUGCGAGUUUCUCGUCGUUUUGUUCCUGUCAAGUCAAAAUUUGUUGUUUAGAAGUUCUGGACAGCAAUGUUUCAUGAGCAUUAGGAGCUUAUUUUGAUCACUCUCACGUUAAAGGGCGAGUUCUUCUUACGCGUAGAUGCCUUAGGAUCGAUCCUUUCAUAUCUCAUGCCGUUUCGGACUUCUUAAACCCAAAUCAAGAUACUUUGAAGUCAUUAUUUGAAUCAAAUUGAUGUAAUGGAGCUCAUCUUGUUCAUCUUAUCUCUAUUGAUCUUGUUCAUGGUUUGUAUAUUUGCCUUUGUCCCGGUUCUCCACUUUUUGUUCUUUGUCUUGCAUGGCAUUUCGAACCUUGGAGGAGAAGAUGAGUAAAGAGGAGGCACAAGAAGAUGGACGACCCCAAUGUGGCUCGAAAACGACGUGGAGACUUACCUAGGCUUAGGUUGAGUCCCGACUUGAAGACCGCCUCGGUCCGCGGUAGUCAAGGAUCUUCCAAGCUAGCUCAUCCUGAGAAUCUCUUGGGAUCAGCUUUGUUUUGGCUAGGGGGAUUCGAAGAGAAGGAAGCAACGAGAGAGAGAGAUAGAGAGAGAGAGAGAGAGAGAGAGAGAGAGAGAGUAGAGACGGAAAGAGCAAAGCAAGGGGAUGACAGGGGGGCUCGAAAUUGUGUUCGCAAAAGAGGAAGAAGAAGAAAGAAGAGCUAAGAGGAGAUGGGAACAAUUGACAGAUUGAUCCGGGUAAGGGGAUUAGGAGAACGACCUAAGAGGGAGUUGAGCUUGAAAUUGAAUUUAUCAUCCAUGGUGUUUAGGUUGGUAUUGCUGAAAAAAUUUUCUGAUUUGAUGCUUGUGGUUUCUUUAAUGAAACAAUAUAAGCCAAUUGAGUUGCUAAACAGAAAUAGGUAAGUUCAUGGAUCAACUUAAUGUUCAUGCAUGUCGAUGGAUUCUAUUAAGAACUACAUUGCUGCAUAUAUUUAUCUAAUUUCUAGAGUCAAUUGUGACCUUAGAGCUAGUAAUGCAAAGGAUUUUGGUUGGAUGGAAUAUGGAGGUUCUGCUGAACGAAGUUCUUUUAUUAAUUGAAUUACUUUGUUAUCAAUUGGCUUGUAUGGGUUUCUUUUAGUUGAUUGUUCUCUUGUUGUGAAUUUGGAAGUUGGGUUAGUCAAAUUGAUGGUGAGGGGAGCUGUUAAAGCUUAUAGAUCCAUUUAGAUUAUUGAUGCUUUGAGUACAGAUUAUUUGAGAAACCAUUUUAUUCAAUUGUGUCUUUUCCUUGGUGAAUUGAAGAUUGCGGUAUAAUUAAAUUGCUAAAUUGGGAAAAUUAAAAGUGGUAUUCAAAUCGGAACUUUUGAACCAAGUGUUAAUUGUGUUGGAAAAAAAAAAGAAGAAAGAUGAUGAUGUUAGGCGUUAUUCUGAUUUCUUUGUAUCGCUAAUCAUUGGUUUUUAUCUAUACUGUGAGACCCGGAAUAUUUAAAAAAAAAUAUCCAUCCAUGCACAUAUGCAUAUAUAUAUAUAUAUAUAUAUUAUAUUAUAUGUUGGACUUUUAUGUUGCUGAAGGAAAAAAAAAAAGAAAAGAAAAGAAAAGAAAGGGGCGAAAAGGGUCCCACGUGGCCCUCAUUUUCCCUUAAGCCAUCCUGCCACUGCCAUUGCUUUUUCCAUUUCAUUUGUUUUCUUUCUUCCUUCUUUCCCUGCGUUUCGUUCUGUCUUUUUCUUGGCUGGGGUCGAAGAAGAAACAGGGGAAACAGAGAGAUUGAGAGAGAGAGAGAGAGAGAGAGAGAGAGAGAGAGAGAGAAAGGGUCAACUUGAGUUGCAGAAACCGCAAAGAAGACGAAUUGCUAAGUGCACGAUAAGCUUCUAACUGCGCAAGAGAACCAUUUUGAUAUCGAGGAUCAGCUCGAAAAACUAGGGAUUAUGAAGACUAAGCUUUGCAUCUCGAAGAAUCGACCUAAUGAAUAUUUUUGAGAGUUCGUCAUGGGACCGCUAGACACGGCGGAAUAUAAAUAUGGGCCGAAUGGCCGUUGGACCCAGUGGAAUAGAAAGUGUGGCUCAAAUGGCCGUUGGACCUGGUGGAAUAGAAAAUGGAGUCUGAAUGGCCAUUGGGCCCGACGUAAUAGAAAAUGGGGCUCGAACGACUGCUGGACCUGGCGAAAUAGCAAAUGGGGCCUGAAUGGCCGCUGGACCCGGUGGAAUAAAAAAUGGGGUCUGAAUGGUCGCUGGACCCGGCAAAAAAGAAAAAGGGGCCUAAAUGAGAUGUGCGGGAUCACAAUACCGUCCUAACUUGUUGCGAGAAAAUGCAAUCCUAUGGCUAUAUUGAUUGACUGCGUUGUAUAUUGUUUGUCUGAUAUGAUUAUUAGAGAUGUGAUGAUUAUUGAAAUUGUUGGAGAUGUGACGAUUAUGGAGAUUGUCUGAAGUUGUUCUAUGAAAGCAGUGUUAUUGCUGGAGUUUGAUCUGUCAAGUGAUUGUGUUGUGAGUUUUUAUGGAAUGCUAAUGAAUGGAUAUUUGAUGUUUAUGUGGUAUUGGAUAUUAGAGAGAUUGUUGGAAGAGUUGCGUGUAUUUAUUAGGGGAACUUAAAUCAGUUACUAUAAUGGAUAUAACUAUUAUUAUAGUUUGUAUCUAUAUAUACAUAUAUAUAUCGUGUAUAUGUGCGGGUGAGCUGAUAGUUGGAUUUGGAUUUGAUGUGAUUGUAUAAUUUAUUUGAAUAUUUGGUUAUUUGCAAUUAAAUAUUUAUUUAAUAAUAAGUCAUUUUACUUUGAAAUAUAGUGCUCAUUGAGAUGCAGCUCACACUCCGCAUAUAUUUUUCAGAUGAGCUAGAAGCUAGACUAGCAGUACAGGAGAACUCUUUUGAUAUCAGGGAUCAUCUCAGAGGACUAAGUUGGGACUUUAAUUAUUUGAUAAGUAGUCUUUUUGUAUAAAAUGUAUUGAAUAUGUUACGACCUGAAAUUUUUGUUUAGUUUGGUUUAGUAAUGUGGUUGAGAAAAGAAUAUUACUCACUUUUGAGAAGUAUAUAUAUACAUAUUAGAGAUUGUCGGACUA